CAAGAGCGUAUGCAAAAGUUGUUGCAGUUAAAAAGCUCGUAGUUGAACCUUGGGUUUGGUUGGCCGGUCCGCUUUUUUGCGAGUACUGGAUUCAACCGAGCCUUUCCUUCUGGCUAACCAGUCGUUUCGGCGGCUGGCGAACCAGGAUUUUUACUUUGAGAAAAUUAGAGUGUUCAAAGCAGGCAUUAGCUUGAAUAUAUUAGCAUGGAAUAAUAGAAUAGGACGUUAUGGUUCUAUUUUGUUGGUUUCUAGGACCAUCGUAAUGAUUAAUAGGGACGGUCGGGGGCAUCAGUAUUCAGUUGUCAGAGGUGAAAUUCUUGGAUUUACUGAAGACUAACUACUGCGAAAGCAUUUGCCAAGGACGUUUUCAUUAA
rnacentral:rRNA from 1 species